UAGCAUCUCAAAAGAGAUUUUGUACCCAUCAACAAAAAGAUGUCCAAGACCGGCCUAGGAUGGAGGAGCUGCACUCUCCAGUAGAAAGUUGAACUCCAAAAAGGCGGGUUUAACAUCUCCAAAGACAUCUUUUCUGCAGCAAGUUGAUGUCCAAGACCAGCAACUUAUGAUAGAGGAGCUUCAAAACACUCUGCAGUAAAAGUCAGGCUUCAUCUCCUAAGAGAUCUACCCACCAAUGAAUAGAUGCCCAAGACCAACCUAGGAUAGAGGAGCUGGAGUGACUCUCCGGUAACUCCCAAAAGGCGGGCUUAGCAUCUCCAAAGAUAUAUUUAUGUCGGCAAGUUGAUGUCAAAGACCAGCAGCCUAUGACAGAGGAGCUACAAAACACUCUCCAGUAAAAGCUCUCCAUGUGGGAUGAUAGACUUGCUAAACUUCCAUCUAGAACAUUCGUGGACAUGAGUGCUUCAGAAGAGCUCCCCCUGGUGCUGAAUCAAGUUGGGCUGAAUGGAGGUGCCUCAUCAACAGACUUAGAACAUCAACUGGCCGGUGCAAGGUGUCUCUCAAGAAGUGGGGAUAUCUGGACUCUGAAGACGUGACCUGCAUAUGUGGGACAGAGCCACAAACUAUGGAUCACCUCCUGAGAUGCCCCCCCCUUACUGGAGCAAGAAUGCAGAACUGAGGACCUUGCAGAGAACAAUGAUAUUGCUUGGAGCUGUGUUCAGUGCUGGCUGAAACACAACAUCUAGUGUGUGGACACGAUAAGAAGAAGAAGCUCUCAAUUGCUCACUACCUAUCUGGCUCGGCAUACCCCAAAGACAUCUACCUGUUAAAGAAGAUGCCCAAGACCAGCAUAUAGAGUUACACUCUCCAGCAAAAGAGACGGAGAUAAAGGGAAUAGUUUCCUGAAAAGAAGUGCAGAAUGGAAUCACCACUACUGAUGUCAUCAAGAAUACAGGGUAUAAAGGAGAGCAACACAUUAAAACAUCGCUACUGUCAAGACAACUUAGCUGCAAGCAAUUAUGGAUGUAACAAACAGUUUGUUGUCUUAAACAGUAAGGUAUUGUAGUGUUUUUAUGAACUGAAUAAGCUCCAAUGUAUUCAGAACACUGCUGCAUGCCUUGUGGAACGGUCUCCAAGAAAUGAGCACAUCAUCCCUAUUCUUCACUGUCUCCACUGGCUGCCAAUCAAGGACUGCAUUGUGUUCAAGCCAAUGUUGCUCAAGUACAAGUCUCAUCAUGGUCUUGCUCCUGCAUGUAACUCUGAACUUAUAAACUCAUAUACACCUCCUCGUUGUCUUUCACUCAUCAUCUUAUUGCUACUGCAAGGUCCCCACAGAGUCUCUACUUCGCAUUAUGGGGGUUGAUAAUGCUCCCAUCUUCAGGAACAGUCUUCCUCUUAUUGUUCGCCAAGCUACUUCGGUCACUUCCUUCAAGAGUCGUCUGAAAACUCAUCUGUUUUCGAAAUAAUGAUGCACUUUUUGUGCUUUUAAUUCUCGUUUUUAACUGAUAAAUUCUACGUUGUUUUUAUGGCCAGAUGCUGAGGAUCUUGGCUAAGGGUGUAAGUGCUAGUAACCUCUCCCCUUUUCAAAAUAGGUUUUUGAGUUAAUAUUGCACUUCUUGUGCUUUUAAUUAUUGUUUUAGUGGAUCAUUUCUGUGUUGUUUUUCAUGGCCAGAUGCUGAGGAUCUUG